GACGAACGCUGGCGGCGUGCUUAACACAUGCAAGUCGAACGGGAUAAUUUGAGAGCUUGCUCUUAGAGAAUCUAGUGGCAAACGGGUGAGUAACACGUAGACAACCUGCCGACAGGAUGGGGACAACAUUCCGAAAGGAAUGCUAAUACCGAAUGAAGCGGAGGAGAGGCAUCUCUCCUCCGUGAAAGAUGGCCUCUGAAUAUGCUAUCACCUGUCGAUGGGUCUGCGUCUGAUUAGCUAGUUGGUGAGGUAACGGCUCACCAAGGCGACGAUCAGUAGCCGGUCUGAGAGGAUGAACGGCCACAUUGGGACUGAGACACGGCCCAGACUCCUACGGGAGGCAGCAGUGGGGAAUCUUCCGCAAUGGGCGCAAGCCUGACGGAGCAACGCCGCGUGAGUGAAGAAGGUCUUCGGAUCGUAAAGCUCUGUUGACGGGGACGAACGUGCGAAGGGUGAAUAAUCCUUUGUAAUGACGGUACCUGUCGAGGAAGCCACGGCUAACUACGUG
rnacentral:rRNA from 1 species